UGGGGAAUUUUGCACAAUGGGGGAAACCCUGAUGCAGCGACGCCGCUUGAUUUAGAAGGCCUUCGGGUUGUAAAAAUCUUUUUUAUGGGAUGAAAAUGACAGUACCAUAAGAAUAAGGUCCGGCUAAAUACGUGCCAGCAGCCGCGGUAAUACGUAUGGACCGAGCGUUGUCCGGAAUCAUUGGGCGUAAAGGGUACGUAGGCGGCCCAGUAAGUUAGAAGUGAAAUAAUAUAGCUCAACUAUAUAAAGCUUUUAAAACUGCUAGGCUUGAGAGAUGGAAGGGAAAGUGGAAUUCCUAGUGUAGCGGUGAAAUGCGCAGAUAUUAGGAAGAAUACCGGUGGCGAAGGCGACUUUCUGGUAAUCAUCUGACGCUGAGGUACGAAAGCGUGGGUAGCAAACAGG
rnacentral:rRNA from 1 species